rnacentral:rRNA from 1 species
AUGAGGGGCAGCAACAUGCUCAGCUCCAGUGGGAGCAACAAAAGGACGCUGCAGCAGGAUUGCAGUGGCGGCAGCCAUGCCCAGGAGCACACCAAGAAGAAGUCUCGCAUCGGCAUGAGAACAGACUACACAUAUGCACCGUAUCAUGAUGGAUUCCAGUGGAGAAAAUAUGGGCAGAAGGUGAUCCGGGGCAAUGCCUUCCCAAGGUGCUACUACAGGUGCACGUACCACCAGGAUCAUGGCUGUUCGGCGAGCAAGCACGUGGAGCAGCACAACUCGGCGGACCCGCCGCUGUUCCGCGUGGUCUACACGAACGAUCACACAUGCAGCGGCGCUGCUGCUUCCGCAUCGGACUACAUGGCCUCGUCGAUGCACAUCCAGCAGAUCGCCGACGCCUCUCUGAGGAAGGCCGACACGGAACCGGAAAGGCCGCCGCGCCCGCAGCAGCCUCGCUCCGGCGGUGGCUACGCCGCGGCGAUAAAAGAGGAGAAAGACGCCAUCGUCUCCUCCCUGCUCACCGUCAUCAGAGGCAGCUGUGACGUUGUGAAAUCUGACGCUGCGCACGAGGGCUACAGCAGUGCGUCGCUGGCUAGUAACUGCUACGCGAUGUCAUCACCGUCGGUGGCCGGAGGUAGCCGUGAGGGUAGUAGCAGCUCUUCGGUUUCGCCAGUGGUGCUGCCGGCGCCAGAUGACAUGGGAUUGGGACUGGACUUCAUGGUGGAGUCCCACUGGUUCGAGCCUUUGGAUUUGGGUUGGUUCGUAGAAUAG